AGUGAACGCUGGCGGUAGGCCUAACACAUGCAAGUCGAACGGCAGCACAGGACAGCUUGCUCUCUGGGUGGCGAGUGGCGGACGGGUGAGGAGUACAUCGGAAUCUACUCUGUCGUGGGGGAUAACGUAGGGAAACUUACGCUAAUACCGCAUACGACCUACGGGUGAAAGCAGGGGACCUUCGGGCCUUGCGCGAUUGAAUGAGCCGAUGUCGGAUUAGCUAGUUGGCGGGGUAAAGGCCCACCAAGGCGACGAUCCGUAGCUGGUCUGAGAGGAUGAUCAGCCACACUGGAACUGAGACACGGUCCAGACUCCUACGGGAGGCAGCAGUGGGGAAUAUUGGACAAUGGGCGCAAGCCUGAUCCAGCCAUACCGCGUGGGUGAAGAAGGCCUUCGGGUUGUAAAGCCCUUUUGUUGGGAAAGAAAUCCAGCUGGCUAAUACCCGGUUGGGAUGGCGGUACCCAAAGAAUAAGCACCGGCUAACUUCGUGCCAGCCGCCGCAGUAA
rnacentral:rRNA from 1 species